GACCUUGUAGCUCAGUGGUUAGUGCUGUGGUCUUUCAAUUGAGAAACCUGGGUUCAAGCCCCGCUAAAGACU